CAGAGUAGAGACUGGGCGUGGUUUAGACUCACCCAGCCGAUCGUUGAUUGUUGGCGCCUAGCUGGUCCCGCCCCCGGGCGCUCCAGUUGAGAGAUGUAACUGUUGCUGUGUAGAGUAUCUAUGCGCUCAUGCUCGACACCGUUAUCUCCCUCCUGUUAUCUGUUCUCGCAACACUACGUUCUGAAUGUGCCCCCCCAACUCAUUGCACAGUUCCUGUCUUCAUGUUAUUCUGUAUUUUUCCAUCAUGAGAAAGGCCCAUGGCCCUGAAACUGUUAACAAUGUUUCAAGUCAGCUAUGUUGCAUAACACAUACAUACAUCCACACAAGCCAACAGCAGAUAAUAUUCAAUCACAUAUAUGGUAACGGGCUAUAGUGCAUAACACAGAAUCCUCAUACUUCCUACUGUAACGGCGCUUUUUAAGGGCUUAAGUUACCUGCCUCUCAAGUUGCAACGCCUGGUGAAUGAUCUACCUGUGUAGUUCCAUGAAUCUAAGUCCUCUGCCCCUGUAUUGACCGAGUGCCUGUGUGUUUUAUUAAGUUGUUGGAAUGGCUGUUUUUGUGGUGUAGGGAGCUGGGCUUGGAUGAGCUGCUAAGGCACUGUGAGCGUGUGGUGGAGAAGCUGCGCUACCCUGAGAAUGACUCGUGCUAUCAGACAAUGGCCGGGACGGCCCUCUUCACCCACACAGCUUUCAAUAUGCUGCAGAACUACAGCAGAUAGCUUUUAAUCUGUUCAGUUAUCAAAAAGAGAAGCUCCAGACGUACAGAAUCGAGAUCGCUAAAGAUGCGAGGAAUGCUGAGACGUUAACAUCUGAAUUUGAGGCAUCCAUCUAUACACCUGCCAUGGCCGCUGUGCUGAGGAUGUGAUCCACACGUUAGCUGACACUCUGCUUCCUGGUGAUGCCCAGACCAGGGUAGAGUGGGUGCAGGAUCCGGACAGACUGAAGGAGAACAUCCACUCUGCUGUAGAGCACCCUCAUCAGACCCUCGGAGCAGUCGCCGACUUCGACCACUACUACAACAAAGCCAAUAGCUGGUACAGCAUCGUCCUGUGUGAGAACUUUCUCCAAGACCUUCUGUGGGGUGUGAACUGUGACAGCCUCCCCAAAUGGUACCACCCGCUGGAGAUGCAUGGCCCUGACCCUGUGUGGAGGCAGGCGGUCUGUGACUUCCUGAGAAGGAACCCCUCCCCAGACAUAGAGGAGCUGGUCCAGCUGGCUCACCUGGCCAAUGUCAUCCCUGACGCCCAGCUCUAGCAGAAGGGCAAACAGCUGUCACAAAGGUGCAUGACCCUGCGAAAACUCCUGACUUCUCCAGGGGCAGUACCUAUCAACAACUUCCAGUUGGCACUGCAGUGGCAGUAUGAGUUUCUGAGAGCCCGCCACAGGAAAGGGCCUGGGCCACACACUAACCUGGGUGUGGGUGGAGGCCCCGAGGCCUUUAACAGUCCAGACGGGGCAUUAUGUAGUCUCCAUAAAACCUCUGGUUCCAGAUCAGACUGAUAACCUGCACAGCCAUGGCUCCCUCUCUAACCUCAAACACCAAGUCCUUCUAGGUACGUCCCCCUCCAGUGCUAUCUCUGGGGCUGUGUCAGCUGUGGGGAAUACUCGCUCUCUCAG
ensembl:lncRNA